rnacentral:rRNA from 1 species
UGCGAAGGGUGCAAGCGUUAAUCGGAAUUACUGGGCGUAAAGCGCGCGUAGGUGGUUCAGUAAGUUGGAAGUGAAAUCCCCGGGCUCAACCUGGGAACUGCUUUCAAAACUGCUGAGCUAGAGUACGGUAGAGGGUGGUGGAAUUUCCUGUGUAGCGGUGAAAUGCGUAGAUAUAGGAAGGAACACCAGUGGCGAAGGCGACCACCUGGACUGAUACUGACACUGAGGUGCGAAAGCGUGGGGAGCAAACAGG